rnacentral:rRNA from 1 species
GACAGAGGGUGCAAACGUUGCUCGGAAUCACUGGGCGUAAAGGGCGUGUAGGCGGGAAGGAAAGUCAGAUGUGAAAUCCCCAGGCUCAACCUGGGAACUGCAUUUGAAACUCCCUUUCUUGAGUACCGGAGAGGAAAGUGGAAUUCCUGGUGUAGAGGUGAAAUUCGUAGAUAUCAGGAGGAACACCAGUGGCGAAGGCGGCUUUCUGGACGGUAACUGACGCUGGAGAACGCGAAAGCGUGGGGAGCAAACAGG